CCUACGGGGGGCAGCAGUGGGGAAUAUUGCACAAUGGGGGAAACCCUGAUGCAGCGACGCCGCGUGAGUGAAGAAGUAAUUCGUUAUGUAAAGCUCUAUCAGCAGGGAAGAAAAUGACGGUACCUGAGUAAGAAGCCCCGGCUAACUACGUGCCAGCAGCCGCGGUAAGACGGAGGGGGCAAGCGUUAUCCGGAUUUACUGGGUGUAAAGGGAGCGUAGUAGGCAAUACAAGUCGGAAGUGAAAUAGCCGGGCUCAACCUGGGAACUGCUUUGGAAACUGUAUGGCUGGAGUGCUGGAGGGGUAAGCGGAAUUCCUAGUGUAGCGGUGAAAUGCGUAGAUAUUAGGAGGAACACCAGUGGCGAAGGCGGCUUACUGGACAGUAACUGACGUUGAGGCUCGAAAGCGUGGGGAGCAAACAGGAUUAGAUACCCGGGUAGUC
rnacentral:rRNA from 1 species